GACGAACGCUGGCGGCAGGCCUAACACAUGCAAGUCGAACGCUGUAGCAAUACAGAGUGGCAGACGGGUGAGUAACGCGUGGGAACCUUCCCAGUGGUGCGGAAUAGCUCAGGGAAACUUGAGGUAAUACCGCAUAAGCCCCUAGGGGGGAAAGAUUUAUCGCCAUUGGGAUGGGCCCGCGUCGGAUUAGCUAGUUGGUGAGGUAAUGGCUCACCAAGGCAACGAUCCGUAGCNGGUUUGAGAGAAUGACCAGCCACACUGGGACUGAGACACGGCCCAGACUCCUACGGGAGGCAGCAGUGGGGAAUCUUGGACAAUGGGGCGCAAGCCUGAUCCAGCCAUGCCGCGUGAGUGACGAA
rnacentral:rRNA from 1 species